GACAGAUUUGAUUACAACAAAAGCAUCCCAAGAAUGUGUCCUGCAUGAGCUCUUCAGGCUGUGAAAUCUUGAACUUCUACACCCAUCCUUGGCUGGCUUUUUCCAUGUGAGGCCAUAUAGAGUAACUUAUGAGGUAUUACCACCGUCAUUUUCCAGAAGAAGAAAGCUGAGGCUCAGAGUGAUCAAGAAUACCCAGCCAGAACGUGGCAUCUGGGACUUCUGUCUCCACUCUGUUAUCCACCAGCACCCUUGGGCCCUAUUGCUUGGCUAGAUGGGCACUCUGCAUGUAUCAGGCAUUGUCUGUCACCUGAGUCACUACAUGUAUGACAUCAUAUGUCUAUUACCAGUCUCAGAUAUACACUAAGAAAAUAAGAUUUCAUUAAAGUAUUUUCUAAAUUCA
rnacentral:lncRNA from 10 species